rnacentral:rRNA from 1 species
AGAGUUUGAUCCUGGCUCAGAUUGAACGCUGGCGGCAUGCUUUACACAUGCAAGUCGAACGGCAGCACGGGUGCUUGCACCUGGUGGCGAGUGGCGGACGGGUGAGUAAUACAUCGGAACGUGUCCUGAAGUGGGGGAUAACGCAUCGAAAGAUGUGCUAAUACCGCAUAAUCUCUGAGGAGAAAAGCAGGGGAUCGCAAGACCUUGCGCUUUUGGAGCGGCCGAAGGCUGAUUAGCUUGUUGGUGGGGUAAUGGCCUACCAAGGCGUCGAUCAGUAGCUGGUCUGAGAGGACGACCAGCCACACUGGGACUGAGACACGGCCCAGACUCCUACGGGAGGCAGCAGUGGGGAAUUUUGGACAAUGGGCGAAAGCCUGAUCCAGCCAUGCCGCGUGAGUGAAGAAGGCCUUCGGGUUGUAAAGCUCUUUCAGCCGGAAAGAAAAGAUUGCAACUAAUAAUUGCAAUUCAUGACGGUACCGGAAGAAGAAGCACCG